UGCGCAGGCGGUUUUAUAGGCCAGAUGUGAAAUCCCCGGGCUUAACCUGGGAAUGGCAAUGGAAACUGGCUAGCUAGAGUGUGUCAGAGGAUGGUGGAAUUUCCGGUGUAGCGGUGAAAUGCGUAGAGAUCGGAAGGAACAUCAGUGGCGAAGGCGGCCAUCUGGGACAACACUGACGCUGAAGCACGAAAGCGUGGGAGCAAACA
rnacentral:rRNA from 1 species